rnacentral:rRNA from 1 species
CAGGACCAGGGACGCAGCAGUGGGGAGUAUUGCGCAAUGGGGGGAACCCUGACGCAGCAACGCCGCGUGCAGGAAGAAGGUCUUCGGAUUGCAAACUGUUGUCGCAGGGGAAGAAGACAGUGACGGUACCCUGUGAGAAAGCCACGGCUAACUACGUGCCAGCAGCCGCGGUAAUACGUAGGUGACAAGCGUUGUCCGGAUUUACUGGGUGUAAAGGGCGCGUAGGCGGAUGUGCAAGUCAGUCGUGAAAUACCGGGGCUCAACCUCGGGGCUGCGAUUGAAACUGCACACCUUGAGUAUCGGAG